ACUUAAAUAGUUUAAAUAAAAUAUUAAUUUGUGGUAUUAAUGAUAUCUAUGUAUCUACAUAUAUUUUAAGUU
rnacentral:tRNA from 1 species